rnacentral:rRNA from 1 species
AGAGUUUGAUCCUGGCUCAGAGCGAACGCUGGCGGCGUGGAUAAGACAUGCAAGUCGAACGGGUGCAGCAAUGCAUCAGUGGCGAACGGGUGAGUAAUGUAUCGCUAACGUACCCUUGGGUCAGGGAUAGCCGGGGGAAACUCCGGGUAAUACCUGAUAAGACCACGAUCCCGCAUGGGAAUGUGUUCAAAGGAGCAAUCCGCGCAAGGAGCGGGCGAUAUCGUAUCAGCUAGUUGGUGAGGUAACGGCUCACCAAGGCGACGACGCGUAGCCGGGCUGAGAGGUCGGCCGGCCACAUUGGGACUGAGACACUGCCCAGACUCCUACGGGGGGCUGCAGUAACGAAUCUUCCGCAAUGCACGAAAGUGUGACGGAGCGACGCCGCGUGUGGGACGAAGCCCUUCGGGGUGUAAACCACUGUCAGGGGUUACCAAGUUCUGAGGAGCCCCAGAGGAAGGCACGGCUAACUCUGUGCCAGCAGCCGCGGUAAUAC